CUUUCUGACUGACCCUGUUGUUCCAAUCGCCUUUUCAAUGGGUUACUCAUUCUGCGUGUUCCUUAGAAUCACAGUUUAACACUAUUUCACUCCAUAUAAUAAUCAAAAGAUUGUAAACAUAUGUGACUGAAAUUUACUUAUACCAAUUAUUUUGUCGUUUCGGAUGAUAAAAUAACUAAAACAUCAACGGGUUAUACAGGCAGCUUGUUGACG
rnacentral:lncRNA from 1 species